rnacentral:rRNA from 1 species
UACGGAGGGGGCUAGCGUUGUUCGGAAUUACUGGGCGUAAAGCGCGCGUAGGCGGACCUGCAAGUCGGGGGUGAAAGCCCGAGGCUCAACCUCGGAACUGCCUUCGAUACUGCGGGUCUCGAGUCCGGGAGAGGUGAGUGGAAUUCCUAGUGUAGAGGUGAAAUUCGUAGAUAUUCGCAAGAACACCAGUGGCGAAGGCGGCUCACUGGCCCGAUACUGACGCUGAGACGCGAAAGCGUGGGGAGCGAACAGG